ensembl:miRNA
GGCUGAGCCGUUGGGGCUGGGCUGGGGGCAGGGAAUCUUGUCUGCUCUCUCCGCAGACCUCAGCCGCUCAACU